rnacentral:lncRNA from 1 species
GCCAAGCCACUAAUGAAACAUCUUUAAUGCGCAUGUGAAAAAAAACUGAGUAAGUAAAACCUUGACGGUGUGAAGUGAAGUUGCUAUUUCCAGGAGCCUUGCAGGCUGCACCUGGGCCUGUGGAUUUUUGUGUGGUGAGUGGUGAUAGUGCAGAAUUUCUGCCAGGGUGCUAUACUGUCUGCCUCCUUAGGUUCAGGUGUAAGCAAGCACCUGGUGCCUUUAUUUCAGGAAUCUAUGAUCGGCUUGGUGGUUACCUUUUCUACUUAGAACCUGAUCUAAUUAGCAAUACAAGCUAAAGCAGUAACAGUAAAGAAUCGGGGGACGUUUGAAAGGAGCCCAGCUUAUGCUAGCAGAAAUCGUUGCUCACAGGUCUUCACAUAUGCUGGCAAGGUGAUCUUACAGCUGGACUUCUGAGUAAUGGCUUGUUAUUUGAGGUUGAGCAUAGGAAAAGAAACUCAGAUUUCAUUUCCCAUAAGGAAUUAAUUAGUGUCAACAAGCCCCUUAUCCAUAUCGAACGCUUUUUGUCACUCUCGCCUUUGAAUUUCUUGGUUUCGGCAAGGUUCCUAUAAAAUGAAGUUAGGCCCAUCAGCUGACUUGAAUUACAGCUUCCUUGUAUGCUUGAGAAGGUGUUUAGAGACAGUAUAGUGAUGGGAAUGACUCUGGAAACUGCGUGUCAUUUACGACUUUGCUGAUUUAAGAACAACUAACUGCCAGACGUUCUCACUGAUGGAGUCAGCUGAGGACCAGGUGGGAUAUCAUUCCAUGUUAGAACUUAACAUAAAGCAAAAGGCUGUGAGCUUUUUAACAAAUAAUUCAGGAGAAGGUACUAACCUGUAAGUUCAUGUUAAUUUUAGACACUUUUCACUAUUUCCUAGGCCGUGGUACCCUGUCGGAUGAGCAUGCUGGAGUGAUAUCUGUUCUCGCCCAGCAGGCAGCUAAGCUGACCUCUGACCCCACCGACAUCCCUGUAGUGUGUUUAGAGUCAGAUAACGGGAAUGUUAUGAUCCAGAAACACGAUGGCAUCACAGUGGCUGUGCACAAAAUGGCCUCUUGACAUCUGAUGCCAGCUCUCCAGUGGUCUCCCACCGGGAUUCAGUCAUGCCUGUCUCAGUUAACUUGUAAAACUAUUAAAGUU